rnacentral:rRNA from 1 species
GACGAACGCUGGCGGCGUGCCUAAUACAUGCAAGUUGAGCGCUGAAGGUUGGUACUUGUACCAACUGGAUGAGCAGCGAACGGGUGAGUAACGCGUGGGGAAUCUGCCCUUGAGCGGGGGACAACAUUUGGAAACGAAUGCUAAUACCGCAUAAAAACUUUAAACACAAGUUUUAAGUUUGAAAGAUGCAAUUGCAUCACUCAAAGAUGAUCCCGCGUUGUAUUAGCUAGUUGGUGAGGUAAAGGCUCACCAAGGCGAUGAUACAUAGCCGACCUGAGAGGGUGAUCGGCCACAUUGGGACUGAGACACGGCCCAAACUCCUACGGGAGGCAGCAGUAGGGAAUCUUCGGCAAUGGACGAAAGUCUGACCGAGCAACGCCGCGUGAGUGAAGAAGGGUUUCGGAUCGUAAAACUCUGUUGGUAGAGAAGAACGUUGGUGAGAGUGGAAAGCUCAUCAAGUGACGGUAACUACCCAGAAAGGGACGGCUAACUACGUG